CAAGACGGGUCGCCGGACCGGAUCGUCCCCGAAGGGGGAGGCGCCGGGCCGAGCAGCCCUUGGGGUGAAGCCGCAUCAGCGGCCGGGCAACUUCGCCAGCCCGAAUCCGACAGGUCAUCCUUCACAGGCGGCUGACGAAGGGUUG
rnacentral:sRNA from 1 species